GACGUAGGUGGCGAACGUUAUCCGGAAUUAUUGGGCGUAAAGGGUGCGUAGGCGGCAUGAUAAGUUAUUGGCGGCAAAUCGAGGCUCAACCUCGUGGAAACUGAUAAUACUGUCUUGCUUGAGUGCAGAAGAGGUUAACGGAACUCCAUGUGGAGCGGUAAAAUGUGUAGAUAUAUGGAAGAACAUCAAUAACGGCGAAGGCAGUUAACUAUUCUGUUACUGACGUUGAGGCACGAAGGCGUGGGGAGCAAAACGG
rnacentral:rRNA from 1 species